GACGAACGCUGGCGGCGUGCCUAAUACAUGCAAGUAGAACGCACAGUUUAUACCGUAGCUUGCUACACCAUAAACUGUGAGUUGCGAACGGGUGAGUAACGCGUAGGUAACCCGCCUGGUAGCGGGGGAUAACUAUUGGAAACGAUAGCUAAUACCGCAUAAUAUUGAUUAUUGCAUGAUAAUUGAUUGAAAGAUGCUAUUGCAUCACUACCAGAUGGACCUGCGUUGUAUUAGCUAGUAGGUGAGGUAACGGCUCACCUAGGCGACGAUACAUAGCCGACCUGAGAGGGUGGUCGGCCACCCUGGGACUGUGACACGGCCCAGACUCCUACGGGAGGCAGCAGUAGGGAAUCUUCGGCAAUGGACGAAAGUCUGACCGAGCAACGCCGCGUGAGUGAAGAAGGUUUUCGGAUCGUAAAGCUCUGUUGUAAGGGAAGAACGGGUGUGAGAGUGGAAAGUUCACACUGUGACGGUAUCUUACCAGAAAGGGACGGCUAACUACGUG
rnacentral:rRNA from 1 species